AUGUGGACUCAGAGGUAGAAACGGUCUGUGCCCCUAGGUCCUGCAGACAUUCACGUUGUCUGGGAGAAGAAUGGGCGAGCUCUGGAGACCUGUGUCCCUGUGCAGACCCAUGCACUGCCCGAUGGCAGGGCCCAUGCGCUCAGCUGGCUGCAGGACGCCAUCAGGGAAAGCACCGAGUAUCGCUGCUCUGUCAUCUCCUCAGCAGGGAACAAGACUUCGAAGGUGCAGGUUGCUGUGAUGAGACCUGAAGUGGCCCACCAGGAGAAGUGGAGCAGAGAGCUUUCCGCCUGGAGGGCUGUGGCUGGGGAGCACGACCGGAUGAUGCAGAGCUGGAGGAAGGCGUGGGAAAGCUGUAGCAAGGACACCCUGUAGCCAUCAGGAAGGAGUCCCUGACACCAACCUCAACCCCAACCAGACCCUGCUGCCACUGACCACAGCCACCCCCGGAGAAGGCCUGGUCCCCCGCAACUGUGAGCUGUCUUGCCCAAACCUGUUCUGAACACAGCCACUGGGCUACCACCUGAUGCGUACCUCCCAGAGGGAGGAGAAGCCCAGGGGCAGUGGAGAAGCCCUGAACCCAAGUGGGCCUGUGACAGGAACUAAGACUUAAAAAAUUAGGUGCUUACCUGGGACAGGAAGUUCUGUCUGGCACAAGCAGGUAACCAGGAUGGCUAACAGGUUCGACAGCUGCUCGUGAACUAAAACAGCAGUAUGUGUGCAGGCUCCUCCUCUAGGGUCAGGCAGCAGGCUCUGAAGGCUGAUCCUACACUGUCCCAGUGACUCCCCUUUACAGAGUGCCCCUACCCCCAACAGCCAACAGGGUUAGCAUGGCCAGCACAGAUCGCUGCUUUUAUUGAUGCAAAUCAAGCCUGCCGCUUCUCCCACCUGCAGACUUAGCCAAGGAACUCUAAGAUGCAUAACUGGGACAAGAAAAGGUGAGACUCCACAUGAAAAUGCCUUGCCUUAAACCCUGAAUGACUGUGAGAUGCGAUCUGGGAGUGCAUCUGUCAAGUCUUUGUGUUUUCUUCACUCACCUCAGAAUACUGGGCUCUGUUUUAUCAAGCGCUGCAGUUUAUGCCUCUGUCCCCUGUCAAUGCUCAGCUUCUGCAACAGGACACCGAGCUUGUCGCAGAAAGCCAAACAGGUCAAUUAUGCAAAUCUCCUGGUGCCAUAUUAAAUUUCUUGACAAUGGAA